ensembl:lncRNA
UGAAAAAGAGUCCAGUGACGGAGGGAUGCAUGGAGAAGCCCACAGCAACAUAUAAGGCCUCAUCAACAGCUCCCUGAACCACCUGGAAAUUUCCUGCAACUGGGAGCCCCGGCUGCCCAGACCAUAAGGAUGCGGGCCCCUGCCUCCGCUGGAGCUUCAUCAGAGAGAUGCAUUUGGUGUGUUUGGUGCAGACCUCUGAGGCUACCAGUGUGUUGCUGUUCAGUUGCUCACUCGUGUCCAG